rnacentral:tRNA from 1 species
GACUUGAUACUUUAAUAUAAAAGAUCUAAUUUGCAUUUAGACAAUAAGUUUUUUAACUUUCGGGUCA